UAAAUCCUUCGGGGUCGGGUGAAAUUCCCAACCGGCGGUAAUCAGGGAUAACCUGUAGUCCGCGACCCAAUACGUCUUUUGAUGUGUUGGCUGAUUCGGUGAGAUUCCGAAACCGACAGUAAAGUCUGGAUGGGAGAAGGAUAUG
rnacentral:ncRNA from 1 species